rnacentral:tRNA from 1 species
ACCUGGCUGGCUCAGUCAGUAGAGCAUGUGACUCUUGCUCUCUGGGUUGUGAGUUCGAGUCCCACGUUGGGUA